rnacentral:snRNA from 1 species
CUACUUACCUGCAGGGAGACACCAUGAUCACGUAGGUGUUUCCCAGGUGAGGCUCCGUCAUUGCACUUGGGCUGUGCUGACCCCUGCGAUUCCCAAAUGCGGAAACUCGACUGCAUAAUUGGGGUUAGUGGGGGACUGCGUUCGCGCCCUCCCUGG